rnacentral:pre_miRNA from 1 species
GUGUUCUAAGUCGUAACAAAAAUGCGCAAUUAAAAGUAGCAGUGAUAAUUAUAAAGAAAUUAGGACUUUUAUUGGUUAAUAGCUGAGUAAAGAUAGACGACUUAGGUCGG